rnacentral:lncRNA from 1 species
GAUGUCCUCAAAUUUCUUGCAGCAGGAAGUCACUUAGGUGACACUAACUUUGAUUUCCAAAUGGAAUGAUAGUACAUCUAAAAAUGAAGGUGAUGGCAUCUAUAUCAUAAUCUUUUUUUUUUCUAACAAGAUCCAAAGUCCACAAAUAUAUCAUAAAUCUGAAGAGGAACUGGGAGAAGCUUCUGCUGGCAGCUCAUGCCAUUGUUGCCAUUGAAAACCCUGCUGAUGUGUCAUAUCCUGCAGGAAUACUAGCUAGUGGGCUGUGCUGAAGUUUGCUGCUGCUGCUGGAGCCACAUGUAUUGCUGGUCACUUCACUUCUGGAACCUUUGCUAACCAGAUCCAAUCAUCUUCUGCCACCCACAUCUUCUGGUGGUUACUGAUUCUAGGGCUAACUAUCAGCCUCUCUCAGGGGCUUCUUAUGGUAACCUACCUACCUACCACUGCUGUAUGUAACAGAUUCUCCUCUGAGCUAUGUGGAUAUUGUCAUCCCAUGCAACAACAAGGAAGCUCAAUCACUGAGUCUAAUGUAGUGGAUGCUGGCCCAGGAAGCUCUGUGCAUGUGUUGCACCAUCUCCCAUGAUCAUGCCUGAUCUCUACUUCUAUAGAGAUCCUGAAGAGAUUGAAAAGGAAGAGUAGGCUGCAGCUGAAAAAGGAGGAAUUUCAAAGUGAAUGGACUGCUGUAGUGCAAGUUUACUGCUACUCAAUCUGAGGUUGCAGACUGGUUUAAAGACAUGCAGGUGCCCUCUGUGCCUAUUCAGCAGUUCCCUACUGAAGAUUGGAGCACUUAGCCUACCAUGAAUGACUGGUCUGCAACUUCCACUGCUCAGACCACUGAAUGGGUAAGAAUAACCACUGAGUGG